rnacentral:rRNA from 1 species
AUUGAACGCUGGCGGCAGGCCUAACACAUGCAAGUCGAACGGAGUGGCGGACGGGUGAGUAAUGUCUGGGACACUGCCUGGUAGUGGGGGAUAACGUCCGGAAACGGGCGCUAAUACCGCAUACUAUCAGAUGAGCCUAGGUCGGAUUAGCUAGUUGGUGGGGUAAAGGCCUACCAGGACGACGAUCCGUAACUGGUCUGAGAGGAUGAUCAGUCACACUGGAACUGGGACACGGUCCAGACUACGACGGGAGGCAUCAGUGGGGAAUAUUGGACAAUGGGCGAAAGCCUGAGCCAGCCAUGACGAGUGUGUGAAGAAGGUCUUCGGAUUGUAAAGCACUUUAAGUUGUGAGGCGUUACCAACAGAAUAAGCACCGGCUAACUUCGUGCCAGCAGCCGCGGUAAUAC